GGAGGGGACAGCUCAGUGGUAGAGUGCAUGCUCAGUAUGCAUGAGGUCCUGGGUUCAAUCCCCAGUACUUCCA
rfam:Camelus ferus unplaced genomic scaffold scaffold394, whole genome shotgun sequence.